UACGUAGGGGGCAAGCGUUGUCCGGAAUCAUUGGGCGUAAAGCGCGUGUAGGCGGCCCGACAAGUCUGGUGUGAAAUCUUGAGGCUCAACCUCAAGCUGUCAUUGGAAACUGUCGGGCUUGAGUCCGGAAGAGGAGAGUGGAAUUCCUGGUGUAGCGGUGGAAUGCGCAGAUAUCGGGAAGAACACCAGUGGCGAAGGCGAGUCUCUGGGAUGAUGCUGACGCUGAGGCGCGAAAGCCAGGGGAGCAAACGGG
rnacentral:rRNA from 1 species